GGCCCACACGUCAAGAUUUUUUUUUGGGACAUGUGACAAAUUAUAUGAAUCACAUAUGUGAAGUUAAACACAACUCAAGAAGGACCCUUGGGCCAAAUCAAAGUGGAAGUCCUCCAAACGAAUAUUUUUAAGAAAACGUUUUCGGGUGACCUGACUUUGGGGGGCAAAAACGGUAUUAUAUGUUUGGAAUUUGGAAAAAUACCAAGAAGUAAAAGUUGUAGAUAAUUGAAUUAUCUUUCCAACCAUAGGUCGUGGGUUCCCAGGUGACGUCGGUACAAGGAGAUAUGGACGUUUUAAGGUCGAAAGGUCAGUGGGCUAGGCCCAACUCGUGACCAACCGGGUUGGCCCAAAAAAAAAAGAUAAAAGGGGAGAAAAUUUAGGCCCAAAAGAGGGGUGGCCGGCCAUAUGGCCCAAGCCCAUGGUAAUUCAUUAAUCCAUGUAUUAAAUGAGACAUUAGACCACAAUUCUUUCAUUUUCAAGAAUCUUCAAGAACAAAAUUGAGAGAAAAAGAAGAGCAAAAACUUGAAGGACCACACGGCCAAGUCCUUGGAAAAUUAGGUCCUCAAAAUCUUCCUCCAAAAAUUAUUAGCUUGUGGUUUUCCUACUCAAUUAAGGGUCCUUUACAACUUGGUGUAGUUGUUUUGGAAGAAGGAGCACUUAUUUCUUCAAGUUGACAACUUGUUCAAGUGAAGAAAUUUGUAGAAAAAGGUUUUGGACGAAACGGGAUUUGAGUUUUGGCAAGCGUAAAGGGCAAGAAAGGUACCGACGACAGGUUUGCUGAUCCGUCCGCUUAGGAUCUUAUUCUCCUAUUUUGGAGCGCUCUCUUAUCCAGAGCCCAUCUUUUGGUAUAGUCUGUCACUACUGUAUAUAUAUAUUCUCGUUCAUGGGUACGGCGGGGCCCUGUCCCGUCAUAUGAUUCUGUCGGUCUGUUUAGAGGUCUGUGGACAUGUUUGUGGGUUGGGGUCUUUCUGUACAGUUGCGUGUAUAUGUUGUGUUUGGGCGAUCUCAUUCGCCGCGGCGGCCGGUCCGCAUAUGUUUAAAUGUUGCUUCGUUGGCCCGGUGUGGUCUUUUGUUGGUAUUUUCUGUGCGCAGGGUUAUUUUGGAUAGCCUGUAAAACAAAGGAAACUCUGCCGAAAUUUUUCUGGAAAUUAUCUAACUUUGAAAUAUAGCCUUGUCGGCUUCCGCUAUAUACUUGAAUGCGUUUGAUAAAAUUUGAGAUAGCAUUUGAUAGAUGUGUUCGGGUGCUCAGAUCGGGCACUAGUCACGGCCUAUGGG